rnacentral:rRNA from 1 species
GACGAACCGGACGAACGUUAUUCGGAAUCACUGGGCUUAAAGAGUGCGUAGGCGGCUUUGUAGGUUGGGUGUGAAAUCCCACGGCUCAACCGUGGAACUGCGCUCAAAACCACAAGGCUUGAGGGAGACAGGGGUGAGCGGAACUGAUGGUGGAGCGGUGAAAUGCGUUGAUAUCAUCAGGAACACCGGUGGCGAAGGCGGCUCACUGGGUCUCUUCUGACGCUGAGGCACGAAAGCUAGGGUAGCGAACGGG